GUAGGUGGCAAGCGUUGUCCGGAAUUAUUGGGCGUAAAGCGCGCGCAGGCGGUUCUUUAAGUCUGAUGUGAAAGCCCACGGGCUCAACCGUGGAGGGUCAUUGGAAACUGGAGAACUUGAGUACAGAAGAGGAAAGCGGAAUUCCACGUGUAGCGGCGAAAUGCGUAGAGAUGUGGAGGAACACCAGUGGCGAAGGCGGCUUUCUGGUCUGUAACUGACGCUGAGGCGCGAAAGCGUGGGGAGCAAACAGGAUUAGAUACCCUGGUAGUCCACGCCGUAAACGAUGAGUGCUAAGUGUUAGGGGGUUUCCGCCCCUUAGUGCUGCAGCUAACGCAUUAAGCACUCCGCCUGGGGAGUACGGCCGCAAGGCUG
rnacentral:rRNA from 1 species